UUGAACCCAGGGACACUUUGUCUCUAAGUUUCAUCCCAAUCCCUUUUUAAUUUUUUGAGACAGGGUCUUGCUAAAUUGCCGAGACUGUCCUUGAAUCUGCGAACCUCCUGCCUCAGCCUCCCAAGCCGCUGGGAUUACAGAUUAUCACAAUUAAACAUCAGAAGAUUUUUCCCAAAUAAAUACUGAUGUAAUGUUGAUUUCAAGGACACACAACUUUCAUAAGAGUCUACUUCUCAGGCACUUCGCCAUUCAUUGAGAUGGAAGCAGCACGGCUCUGGUGCGAGUCGCUGAACUCCUGUGGAGAAUUCCCUCUGGGAGAGUUGGCGGGCACCAGGAGCUGACUGGUGGAUGUAAGCACAGCAGCAUUUAGUGGCUUUGGAGAAUGAGACGGGGGUCUGUGCCGGUUGCUCUCCUCACCAGAAGUGGACAAGUAUCUUUUUCUUCCAAAUUCCUCACCAAUAGGGGGCUGCAGAUCAUGAAAGACAACAGAGUUGACAGUUUGACUGUUUUUCUUCCUUCAAAAUCUACGACCAGACUUUUUCAAUGAGGUUGAAAAUAAUUUUGGUUCUUCAACAGAUUUUGUUAGUUUAAUGAAACAUUAACAGCAACUUAAGAUCUUAAACUUGAAUUUCCUAAUGACAACUAACUACCGCAUCUGCUCAUUCUUUCACUCCACAUACGCUUAUGAAACCUCUCUCGUGUUCUGAGGCCCAAGCUACAUACUAGGGCGUGUCACGGUUUGGAUCUGACGUGUCCCUCAGAAGCUCCUGUGUUAAGGCAGGAAUGUUUGGAGGUAAAAUGGUUGGACUGUGAGUCCAUCCCAGUCUGAAUGGGCUGACUGGGUAGUCACCGUAGGCUGGAGGUAGGUCACUGGGGUGUGCCCUGGAAGGAUGCAUCUUACCUGUGGCCCUUUCCCCUUCUCUGCUCCUUGGCCGCCAUGAGCUAAGCAGCUUUCCUCCGCCGACCCUUCCACUAUGAUGUCCUGCCUCACCUUGGGCCAGAACAUGUCCUAAACUUAUGGAACAGUGAGCCAAAACAAACUUUUUCUCCAAGUUGUUCUUGUCAGGUAUUUUGGUCCCAGUGACACAAAGCAGACUAACAGAGGGCAUAAGCAUAAGGCUGGGUUCCCUGCCUCCAAGAAAGUGUCUUCUGUAAGGCCAUUUUUCCUCUUUAUUCAACUUCUGUCAACUGUGAAGCAUUUAUGACUCUAGUCCCUUUAUCAACACUAAACACCUAUCAUAGGCUUGCAAUAGUGUUGCAAUGUUUAAGUAACAGGUGAACGCAAGCAACUGAGGAAAAAAGAGGCCAAGUCAAAGAGCAGGUUUCAAGUUUUAUCUAGAAGUCCUGGAUAAGGAAACUGGAAAGCAUUAGUGGUGAUAUCAACUGUAAACAUCUCCAAACUCAAUACCCAGAAAGCUCCCAAGCCCACUCAGACUGCACGCAGAAGCAGGUGGAGGGCAACAGGCAGUCAGCGUUUAAAAUAAGCCAGCUUUGGACGCCUUCUCAGUUACAGACACUUGGGAGUCACUAGGCUAAUAUUUUUAUUUGGAGGCAAGUUAAAAUAGUAAUCUCCCAUCUUGCUCAGUCACUCUAGAAGAAUGACUCUUAAUUCCAGGGAUAUGGGCACCUCCAACCCCAUUCCUGAGCCACCAUAUCCAGUUCCACAAAAGUACGAGACAAAUAAAUUACAACACCAAGCAGUAACGGGCCAGACUUUCCUUUCCUUUCUUCCUUUUAGGUGUUCAGUUUUUCCUUUUCUUUUUUCUUUUUCUUCCUUUGCUUUUAUUUUCUUAAAUUUAUUCCAUUACUUUUCAAAAUGCUUUCCAUUUGUUCUUGAAAUCAAACUGAUUUCCUGGCUACACAUAUACAUAUAACACUCUUGCAUUAAUCUUACUAUGAAGAAACCCUAAAUCUAUAUCAGCACAGUACAAAAAUCAUAUGGAGAAAAGCACAUUAAAAAGUGAAAAGUGGUGGGUGUGGUGGUGCACUCCUGUGAUCCCACCUACUCUGGGAGCUGAGGCAGGAUCCAAAGCUCAGGGACAACCUGGACAAUGCAGCCAGACACUGAAUCAAAAUAAAAGGAGAAGGGCUGGAGAUGGAGCUCAGUGGUAGAGCACUUGCUUAGCGUGUGGGUUCAAUCUCAAGCACCAAAAAAAAAAAAAAAAAAGUGAAAA